rnacentral:lncRNA from 1 species
CAGUUCACCAGCAAUGAUACAAGUCAUUCAUGAACAUUGUAGGAUUAAUCUAAAGUGGGAAAUAUGCCCAUAAAUUUUCGUAUUGCAAUUACCAGAGUCUCGGUGGGCAUCCAUGCCUUUUUCUUUCCGUCUUAUCCGGGUCCACUCAAAAAGACAACAUAUGCAAUGAAAAUUCGACGGUGUAAUACAUGCUGCUUCUACAAUAAACCAUCAUUUCCCAUCUUUAAUAUCUAUAUAUAAAAU